ACAAGUGCCGACAAAAACACUUAAUAUACUGAGGGAUCAAAUAAGGGAACGCCACUUCAUGACAGUGUUCCUUUAUUUAUUCUCAGAUUUCCUUCCCCGGGGCUAUUCAAAGCUGGUGAUGAAACUGGA